UACGUAGGGGGCGAGCGUUGUCCGGAGUUACUGGGCGUAAAAGGGCACGCAGGCGGUGCGGCGCGUUUCGCGUGACAGCGGAGGGCUUAACUCUCCGAGGAUGCGAAAGACGGCGGCACUUGAGGGCCAGAGAGGGACACGGAAUUCCGGGUGGAGUGGUGAAAUGCGUAGAGAUCCGGAGGAACACCGAAGGCGAAGGCAGUGUCCUGGCUGGUGACUGACGCUGAGGUGCGAAAGCUAGGGGAGCGAACGGG
rnacentral:rRNA from 1 species